rnacentral:rRNA from 1 species
GAUGAACGCUGGCGGCGUGCCUAAUACAUGCAAGUCGAGCGAACAGACGAGGAGCUUGCUCCUUUGACGUUAGCGGCGGACGGGUGAGUAAUACGUAGGUAACCUACCUAUAAGACUGGGAUAACUUCGGGAAACCGGAGCUAAUACCGGAUAAUAUUUCGAACCGCAUGGUUCGAUAGUGAAAGAUGGCUUUGCUAUCACUUAUAGAUGGACCUGCGCCGUAUUAGCUAGUUGGUAAGGUAACGGCUUACCAAGGCAACGAUACGUAGCCGACCUGAGAGGGUGAUCGGCCACACUGGAACUGAGACACGGUCCAGACUCCUACGGGAGGCAGCAGUAGGGAAUCUUCCGCAAUGGGCGAAAGCCUGACGGAGCAACGCCGCGUGAGUGAUGAAGGUCUUCGGAUCGUAAAACUCUGUUAUUAGGGAAGAACAAACGUGUAAGUAACUGUGCACGUCUUGACGGUACCUAAUCAGAAAGCCACGGCUAACUACGUG